GACGAACGCUGGCGGCGUGCUUAACACAUGCAAGUCGAACGGAAAGGCCCUGCUUUUGUGGGGUGCUCGAGUGGCGAACGGGUGAGUAACACGUGAGUAACCUGCCCUUGACUUUGGGAUAACUUCAGGAAACUGGGGCUAAUACCGGAUAGGAGCUCCUGCUGCAUGGUGGGGGUUGGAAAGUUUCGGCGGUUGGGGAUGGACUCGCGGCUUAUCAGCUUGUUGGUGGGGUAGUGGCUUACCAAGGCUUUGACGGGUAGCCGGCCUGAGAGGGUGACCGGCCACAUUGGGACUGAGAGACGGCCCAGACGCCUACGGGAGGCAGCAGUGGGGAAUAUUGCACAAUGGGCGGAAGCCUGAUGCAGCAACGCCGCGUGCGGGAUGACGGCCUUCGGGUUAUAAACCGCUUUCGCCUGUGACGAAGCGUGAGUGACGGUAAUGGGUAAAGAAGCACCGGCUAACUACGUG
rnacentral:rRNA from 1 species